UACGUAGGCAGCAAGCGUUGUUCGGAAUUACUGGGCGUAAAGAGCGUGUAGGCGGUUCGGUAAGUCUGUCGUGAAAUCCUGAGGCUCAACCUCGGGCGUGCGAUGGAUACUGCCGGGCUAGAGGACUGGAGAGGAGACUGGAAUUUACGGUGUAGCGGUGAAAUGCGUAGAUAUCGUAAGGAAGACCAGUGGCGAAGGCGGGUCUCUGGACAGUUCCUGACGCUGAGACACGAAGGCCAGGGGAGCAAACGGG
rnacentral:rRNA from 1 species